UACGAAGGGGCUAGCGUUGCUCGGAAUCACUGGGCGUAAAGCGCACGUAGGCGGACUCUUAAGUCGGUGGUGAAAUCCUGGAGCUCAACUCCAGAACUGCCUUCGAUACUGGGAGUCUCGAGUCCGGGAGAGGUGAGUGGAACUGCGAGUGUAGAGGUGAAAUUCGUAGAUAUUCGCAAGAACACCAGUGGCGAAGGCGGCUCACUGGCCCGGUACUGACGCUGAGGUGCGAAAGCGUGGGGAGCAAACAGG
rnacentral:rRNA from 1 species